UGAGUACGAGCUGCUACGGCAGCGAAGUGGGUGACGUCAAGCUUCCAAGAAAAGCCCUAUACCCGUUAAGGCAUGACGGCCUGUACCCGAAACCGACACAGGUGGGGUGGUAGAGAAUACCGAGGGGCGCGAGGUAACUCUCUCUAAGGAACUCGGCAAAAUGGCCCCGUAACUUCGGGAGAAGGGGUGCCACCGCAAGGUGGUCGCAGUGAAGAGGCCCAGGCGACUGUUUACCAAAAACACAGGUCUCCGCUAAGUCGCAAGACGAUGUAUGGGGGCUGACGCCUGCCCAGUGCCGGAAGGUUAAGGAAGCUGGUCAGCGUAAGCGAAGCUGGCGACUGAAGCCCCGGUGAACGGCGGCCGUAACUAUAACGGUCCUAAGGUAGCGAAAUUCCUUGUCGGGUAAGUUCCGACCCGCACGAAAGGCGUAACGAUCUGGGCGCUGUCUCGGAGAGAGGCUCGGCGAAAUAGAAUUGUCUGUGAAGAUGCGGACUACGUGCACCCGGACAGAAAGACCCUAUGAAGCUUUACUGUAGCUUGGUAUCGUGCCCGGGCUCUGAAUGCGCAGGAUAGGUGGGAGGCUUUGAUCCAUUGCUUGUGGGUGAUGGUGAGCCAACGGUGAGAUACCACUCUUUCAGAGCUAGGGUUCUAACGGUCACCCGUCAUCCGGGGACCGGACAGUAUCAGGUGGGCAGUUUGACUGGGGCGGUCGCCUCCUAAAAGGUAACGGAGGCGCGCAAAGGUUCCCUCAGGCUGGUUGGAAAUCAGCCGACGAGUGUAAAGGCAGAAGGGAGCUUGACUGUGAGACCUACAAGUCGAACAGGGACGAAAGUCGGCCUUAGUGAUCCGACGGUUCUGAGUGGAAGGGCCGUCGCUCAACGGAUAAAAGUUACUCUAAGGAUAACAGGCUGAUCUCCCCCAAGAGUUCACAUCGACGGGGAGGUUUGGCACCUCGAUGUCGGUUCAUCGCAACCUGGGGCUGAAGUCGGUCCCAAGGGUUGGGCUGUUCGCCCAUUAAGGCGGUACGCGAGCUGGGUUCAGAACGUCGUGAGACAGUUCGGUCCAUAUCCGGUGCAUGCGCAGGAAUAUUGAGAGGAUUUCUCCCUAGUACGAGAGGACCGGGAGGAACGCACCUCUGGUGUGCCAGUUAUCGUGCCAACGGUAAACGCUGGGUAGCCAUGUGCGGAGUGGAUAACCGCUGAAAGCAUCUAAGUGGGAAGCCCACCUCAAGAUGAGUAUUCCCAUGGCGUUAGCCAGUAAGGUCACGGGCAGAACACCCGUUGAUAGGCUCUACGUGGAAGCCGGGUAACCGGUGAAGCGGAGGAGUACUAAUAGACCGAGGGCUUGAC
rnacentral:rRNA from 1 species